GAAAUCUCACGGCUUAACUGUGAGCGUGCGGGCGAUACGGGCAGACUUGAGUACUGCAGGGGAGACUGGAAUUCCUGGUGUAGCGGUGGAAUGCGCAGAUAUCAGGAGGAACACCGGUGGCGAAGGCGGGUCUCUGGGCAGUAACUGACGCUGAGGAGCGAAAGCGUGGGGAGCGAACAGGAUUAGAUACCCUGGUAGUCCACGCCGUAAACGGUGGGUACUAGGUGUGGGUUUCCUUCCUUGGGAUCCGUGCCGUAGCUAACGCAUUAAGUACCCCGCCUGGGGAGUACGGCCGCAAGGCUAAAACUCAAAGAAAUUGACGGGGGCCCGCACAAGCGGCGGAGCAUGUGGAUUAAUUCGAUGCAACGCGAAGAACCUUACCUGGGUUUGACAUGCACAGGACGCCGGCAGAGAUGUCGGUUCCCUUGUGGCCUGUGUGCAGGUGGUGCAUGGCUGUCGUCAGCUCGUGUCGUGAGAUGUUGGGUUAAGUCCCGCAACGAGCGCAACCCUUGUCUCAUGUUGCCAGCGGGUAAUGCCGGGGACUCGUGAGAGACUGCCGGGGUCAACUCGGUGGAAGGUGGGGAUGACGUCAAGUCAUCAUGCCCCUUAUGUCCAGGGCUUCACACAUGCUGCAAUGGCCGGUACAAAGGGCUGCGAUGCCGCGAGGUUAAGCGAAUCCUUUUAAAGCCGGUCUCAGUUCGGAUCGGGGUCUGCAACUCGACCCCGUGAAGUCGGAGUCGCU
rnacentral:rRNA from 1 species